rnacentral:lncRNA from 1 species
AUGAUAUCAAAGUAUUUUAAUGCCUUGAAAAUAAUUUGCCACACUUGUGAUGUGUAGAAGAGAUUACACUAUGGAAAUUAUGUUAAUUGUCAUGUGUGACCCAUUACAGGACUAUCUCGCCCAAAUUACCUCUUGUACCACCACCAUCUACUCCUCCUACUGUUGCUACCACACCACCACCACCAACUCCACCACAGCCACCACCACCACAAGUACUUCCACCACCACUGCUAGUGACAGCUUCAGCCUGCUUAUUCAGUGGAAAUCCAGUGUUUGGGUGUGAGGGUACUGGGAUAGGCACACCCUGGAUGCAUCUGUUACUUGCCACCUAAGGCCACACUGAGGACUCAGGCUCACCUAGCCAGCGGAGGAUGGCUGUUCCACAAGGUGCUGUCAUGCCUCUUCUAUAGGGGAGCCUCGUGCAACAGUGUGGAAGAAGGUGGUGAGCUCUGAUCAGCCAAGGCAUGUGCAGUGGUGGUGGUGUGCGGCACGUUGCCUGAUGGCCAUCCUUCAGCGCCGCACCUCAUGGCACCCGGGCAGUCUAAUACGCUUCACGUGCCCUCUUCUCCCCGCCCGUCUACGCCUGCGCACCAUCAGGCCUGCCCCCCCACUCAUGAUCUGGGUCUCUGACCUUUCAACGCCCGCUCCACUUUCUUACAUUCAUCAUGCCUCCACUCAUCGUUGUGGCUCGCUGCAGUGGUGAUACACUUCUUGUUUGGACCGGUAUCAAUUUCUACAGUCUGUCAGUUUGUGAUGAGCAGUCAAGCGUAGGUCAUUCUCACCUCGCCGCAUGGGUGGCCGAUUCCGCUCAAGGUCUCCAAGGCGGUCAAGGUCACGCUCCCCCAGGUCUGUUUCUCGAUCACCAAGGUAUGAUGAUUAUCGUCGUCGAAGUGAUUCUCCUGAUUUCAAGAAACGCAGCCGAUCUCGAUCAUAGGCUAAGAUCCAGAGAGGAAACUUAAAAUUUGAAAAAUAAAUAUGUGACACAAGAACAAAAUUAAGACUCUUUGUUUUGUUAAGAGAAGGAAUGGCUCACAAGAGUUGUGUUGCAAAGCUGAAAAUAUUAUAAUUAUUUGAAGAUUGACAGUAAACCUGACGAUGUCAUGGAAAGGAGAAAUAUCAUUAAAAAAUUAUAAUGAAAAAAAGUAAAAUAUCCUCUAAACAGUUUUUUUCUGAUUUAUGUAGAUGUAUACUUUCUUUGCUCUAUAAGUGUUGAUCACUGCCUAGUUGGUUAGCUAUAUGUUUCAAAGUAUUUGAAAUGGCAUAAUAGGUUUACUGUUGAUUUGAAUUAUAUUAGAACAAGUAUAAUCAGAAAUAUGAAAUUACUUGUAUUUUUUCAUGUUAUUGUCCAUUUAAUGCAUGUGUUGUGAAUGGAUGUUCUACAGUCAUGCCAUAUUAUUAUUCAUAAUUUUAGUUAUUCAGUUGAAGUGCCUCAGACAUUUGUGGUAGUACAAACUAUUUGAAAGUUUUUGGUUGACUCCUGAAAGCAUUUUUUUUGUUAUAAUAAAGUUCAACAAUUCUUUCUUUGUAUUUUUAUUUUCUGACCUGUGGAUUUUUGCAUCCCAGAAUUAUAAAAAGAAAACUACUUCUGUGGACAAAAACUUUCCUAUAUUUUUUACUCACUGAUGCUAGCUGUAUGGUAUGAGGGCAAAGCCUGCAGACGCUUUGCCAGUCAACUGUGUUGUCUCCUUAACAGUUAUUGUACAUUAUACUUUUCAACAUUGCAUUACACACAAGCAGACCAGGCAGGGCAAUUUAGUGGCGUGAAGAUACACAAAUGGAAUUCUUGAAACAACUAACUGUAAUUUUUGUAAUUUUAUCACGUUUGAAAGAGCUCCCCUUACAGAAUGUAUUCAACCUGUAGUUUAUUUGGUGUUCCCCAUUUCCCACUGUAUAUCACAAACAACUUCCUUUUACACAAAUGUGACUAAAAACAUGAUUUUCAGCUUUUACACUCCAUUCCUUGUAAAGAUCAGCACAAGACAAAUGUUUCCUAUUAUUUUUACCAUGAACAUUUUUUUAUGGGUAGUUCAUAAUUUACCUAAAUAGGGUCACAAAGGUGAAAGUCUUUUUAGAAUUAAUUCUAGUGUUACUUGGCUGGUAAAAUUAUAUAAAUUUUGACAAUAGUUAUAACCAAUGGCAAAUGAUUUUCUGCAAGUACAGUAGUAGUAUAUUUUCUGGAAUUACAAAAUUGUAGACCUGAAUUUUUUUUUUUUUUUUUUUUGUCAUUUAUUUCAGAAAUUUGCCAUCAACAUUAUCAAGUUUAUUAGGUAUGUGUUCAGUAAAUACUGCAAAACAUACCAUGUAUUUCAGAUGCAAUGAUAUAUAAUGCGCAAGAAGUGUUGGCAAUUGAGAAAGUGAGAUGAAAUAUUCCCAAUUUCCUCAUGAAACGUAAUUCGGCCGGAUAAAUAGUGGUAUCAUCUCUGUGGAGGAUACUGAUUUUGCCUCCAGUUAAGAUGCAAACAUCAUUUCCUGACAUGAAGUACUCUGGUAAUAUAUGAAAGAAUGCAAGGAAACAAAAUAAGAAUUACUCUAUAAGCUUGUCUUUGUUAUACUGUUUCAUUAUUUUUGAGCGGGAUUACUUUAACCACUGUACUCAAUUUCCCAAAAAUGAAUAUCAACUCUUU